UACGUAGGGUGCAAGCGUUAAUCGGAAUUACUGGGCGUAAAGCGUGCGCAGGCGGCUUUGCAAGACAGAUGUGAAAUCCCUCAGCUUAACUGGGGAACUGCGUCUGAGACUGGUGAGCUUGAGUGCAGGAGAGGAACGCGGAAUUCCAGGUGUAGCGGUGAAAUGCGUAGAUAUCUGGAGGAACACCGGUGGCGAAGGCGGCGUUCUGGACUGCAACUGACACUGAUGAACGAAAGCCAGGGGAGCAAACGGG
rnacentral:rRNA from 1 species